GAGUUUGAUCCUGGCUCAGAUUGAACGCUGGCGGCAUGCCUUACACAUGCAAGUCGAACGGCAGCACGGGAGCUUGCUCCUGGUGGGCGAGUGGCGAACGGGUGAGUAAUGCAUCGGAACGUAUCCUGGAGUGGGGGAUAACGUAGCGAAAGUUACGCUAAUACCGCAUAUUCUGUGAGCAGGAAAGCGGGGGACCUUCGGGCCUCGCGCUCUUGGAGCGGCCGAUGUCGGAUUAGCUAGUUGGUGAGGUAAAGGCUCACCAAGGCGACGAUCCGUAGCAGGUCUGAGAGGAUGAUCUGCCACACUGGAACUGAGACACGGUCCAGACUCCUACGGGAGGCAGCAGUGGGAAUUUUGGACAAUGGGGGCAACCCUGAUCCAGCCAUGCCGCGUGAGUGAAGAAGGCCUCGGUGUAAGU
rnacentral:rRNA from 1 species